GAGAUACUUCCUGGACAACUGCUAUAAAAACAACAACAAAUACUUUUAUUAAUUCGGGGAGCCUGGUCACCAACUGGAUGCUCAGAGGGGAGAUGGAACCCUGAGCAGCCCAUGUACAUGGAAGAUCUUUAUUGCAGAGAUCUUCAAACCAGGAAACUGAGGCUAAAGAGUUUAGUAUUCUGCCAAGGCCAGCUAAUAGUUACAGAGCAUGGUUCCAAAUUCAGAGCUGUCGGAAGCUUAAGCCCAUGUGAUGAACCACGAAUGUGAUUUUACCUCAUUUAAGCCUUGCAGCAAACUCUGCCAACUAGUGUGCAUUUACUCCUGCCUCUCCAUGCCUGAAGGAAGGAAUGAAGAGGUCUCUGCUGUCCAUCUGAGCCAGUGACUGGGCUGUCUCUACCAGGCCAGAAUUUGGGGCAGGCAAGAUUUUCAGCAUCCCUAAAAUCACACUAAGAAGAUAAACAUGGAAACAGCUUGGAGCUGCCCUACCCAUAGUGAGGUGGUACUGACUGGAAGACAGCUUAAACGAUUUGGAGAAAAGUGGAAUACAUUAAUCUCAGAAAACUCUACCACCUGUAGAAAGAGAGCUAAAAUGGAGACAACCACAGGCAGUCUAAGAUACGCUGAACUACUACAGAAAAUAAUGCAGCAUGAAGGAAUGCUGGAAGGAUCUUCUAAGGGUGUGAGGAUACAGGCGUCAAAGACCCCGUGCUGAGACAGCUCCAUAACAACAUGCAGAUAUUUGGCAAUGAGGGUUCAGAAGAGGACUUGCUGUGGAGAAGAGAGAAAAGAGAUGGGAAGACUCUGUGAAUGAAUAGAGAACACUCUGCAAGCAUCCCAGUUCCUUUGGUUGCCCUGCAGUCUGCAGGUACCAGGAGAAAUCAAAAGCCGCCUGGAAGGGCUUUCUGUCUGUAUGGAGUCAAGGCAGUGUCUUCAAAUCUGUGCUUUCUAAAACAAAGAAAUAACCUUGAUGAAACAAAUUUUCCCCAGAGGAAGGGGAGAGCCCACAGUGAGCUGGUAAAGAAGAUGCCUGGAGCAGGCAGCAUCCUCAAAUGGAAGAGAUGGUGUCUUGCUAUGUUGCCCAAGCUGGUCUUAAAUUCCUGGCAUCAAGUGAUCCUCCUGCCUCAGCCUCCCAAAGUACUGGGAUUACAGGUAUGAGCCAACGUGCUCAGUUCUUCAAGCAGAACUUUCUGACUUCCCUUUUUUUCCUGAAAGCAUAUAAAACUCCCAUGUAAAAGAUGCCCUCUCUGUACCAGGAGGAAAGAAAUAUCUUUAUCACCAGAGACAGAGACAAUUCUCUGUAAACAACCGAAUUUUGUUAAAACAACUCUUAUCUUUCUUUAGCUUUCCUGUAUAUUUUAAUUACUUUUUCACAAUUGCCUCACUUUGUCCAACAUAGUAGGAAAGCAUUGAGAUUUUGCAACUUCUUUGGGCCGUCGUUUCUUUAUAAAGUCUCUCAACUCACAUAAAACUUAAAAUUAAGUAAAUCUGUAUGUUCCUCUCCUGCUAGUCUGUUUUGUGUCAAUCUAAUUCUCAGGCCCUGCUGGGGUUCCUAUGAAGGUAGAGGUAAAGCUUUGUCUGCCCUACACCAUCCAACAUAGUAUCACUAAUUCUAUUUCAACCAGCAGUGUCUGACAUUACUUCUUUCCCACACCCUUCCCAACACUGAUAUUAUCACAUUUUAAAAACUUUGCUAAUCAGAUAGGUUAAAAAGUGGCAUCUCUUUUUUUAACCCAAAUUUGCCUAAUUACUGAUGACACUGAGGAUUUUUUGUAUUUUUCUUGGCCAUUCAACUUUCCUCCUGCCUGUUCAUGUUAUUUUCUCUUGGUCAUUUGUCUUUUGCUUAUGAAAUUCUCAUUUUUCUUAAUGUAUAUCACUAUACUAACUCUUUGAUACAUGGGCUGUAGAUAUCUUCUAAUAGACUAUUAUUCAUCUUUAUGUGAAUGUUUAUCAUACAGAGGUUUUAAAUUUCAAUGUGGUUACCUGCGCCCUGGAUCUGUUCUCUUCUCACUUCCUCAAGGACUUUUUUACUCCGUGGAUAAUGCCCCUACCCUUCCAGCUUCAACCUCACCCUAAGGAAUCCUUGCAAUUGUUGAGAAACAUACUCUAGUAUGUCCCACGUUUUACAACUUCUUCUUGACCCGUCUCUUUCUCCAAUUGCUGGCCUCUUUUUGCUUUGUUUCAUAGCAACAUUUCUCAAAAGACAGUUUUUUUCAUUCCCUCCACUUCCUCACCACCCCUCCCGUCAUCAUCCUCUGUAGUCUGGCUCUAUGACCACCUCUCUGCUGGAAUUGUUCUUGUUAAGAUCACCAGUCACCUUCAUGGUGCUAGUUGGAGUCACAUCUCUGUUCUCACGUGAUUUAACCUUUUGGCAGCAUUCACCGUGACUGACCAUUUCUCCCUUCAUGAAACAUUUUUUUUUAGUGUUGGCUUCAGUAAGUGAGCUCCCUGUUUUCUUCCUAACUGCCUCAGCACUUCUCAGUACCCUCUGCUGACUCUUCCUCCACCACCAACUCCCUGAAUGUUGGGGUGUCUCCCGGCACAGCCCUAGACUUUCCUCAGUAGCUUCUCAUCAGGUGAACUAACUCCUGUGCCAUUAAAUAUCUUCCAUGUGUUGAUGACCCCCAAAUGCACAGCUCUACCCUUGACCAAUUCCUUGAACUUUAGACUCGUACAUCCAAUUCCCUACUGGACACCUCCCCUUGGUUAUUUCAUACUUAAUGGGUCCAAAAUGGUUCUUUUUGAUUUUCACUGCCUCCCCAAAAAAAACUUUUCCCACCCUGUUUUCCCCUAUCUUGCCAAAAACCCUGUUGCUCAAACCAAAAAACUUAGGAAUCACCCUGAUUUCUCCCUUGACUUCACUUUCUACACCCAGUCCAUCAGCAAGUCCCAAUGUUUCCAUUUCCAAAAUGUUCUCAGCAUCCACCUAUUUUCAUCCGUCUUUGCAACCAUUACCCUAUUCCUUGCACUGACAUCUCUUCCCAGGACUAUAGCUGUAGCCUCCUAAAUGGUCUCCUGCUCCCUUCCUGCUUCCGUCCAGCUCAUUCUCCUAUUAACAUUCUUUUCAGCAUUUAUCCCCAUCUUAAGUUACUGUAAUGACUUAUUUCUUUAUGUCGUUAUUUUCUGUUUCCUCUACUAUUUUGCCAUCUCCGUGAGGGUAGGGACCAGAUAUGUUGUAUCUCUCACCACAUCCCAACUUCUGGCACAUUGAAGAGUCUCAGUAAAUACAUUUGGAUUAAAUAAAUGAGCAAGUGAAUGCAUGAUUUUAAAUAUUAGGUAAUAUUCAUAAUUUGCUCAGAAAAUUCUCCUGAGAUUGGCCACUUCCCAGACUGGUGAAACAGGAGAAAAGGACCUUGUAUAUCUCAAUGACUCCUGAAAAGAGUGUAAAAACAACAUGUUUGGGAACAUACAGUGGAGCAGGAGUUACAAGCUCAAAUGUCUCUGGGUUCUGGCAGGUAACAGAAAUGGGGAGGUUACCAUGUGUAAGCCACAAUGAGUGGUAGCGACCAUCACAAUCUGGAGACCCUCCCAGCUCCAGCUAAUGCAGACUCAUCAGCUCCAGCCAGAUGUGGCCAAGCAGCCAAGGCCCCAAGGAACUUAAUCAUGCUGCAACUUCUAGCUGCAAGGGAGGCUGGAAAGUGUAAUGUUUGUUCUAAGUGGACAUGUGCUCAACUAAGAAAGAAGAGAAGGAUGGAUACUGGAGUUCUAAAGUAGGAGUCUAUGCCAGAGCUGGCUAUUUAUGUGAAAUUCCUAAGUAAGUUUUGACACCAUGACGGCUAAACACAGCAGCUCUGUCACCUGAUUUCAGCAGAGGAGCUUCCAGUGUUGUGAACCGUGCUUAGAGCAGUAAAUGUGAAUGGGAUGCACUUCAGUGUCACAUGGGGCAGCCCGCAAGUCUGGCUGGUGAGGAUCAAAAACAGAUGCAGGUUAGCAGGACUCAGACAGGCAGUGCAAACGGGGGUGUGUUCAGGUACCCUGGGAGGUGGGGGUGGGUUGUGGAAAGCACUGUGAAAGUGGGCCAUGAAUAAAGGGUGAGGGGCUACUGUCUCUUACCUGUACAUCCAAGCUGUGCUCAGGACAUUGGCAGCAACGUGGGAGGUCCCUGGCUUCCCUUACCUUUAGGUCUAAGCAGAUAUCCCAAGGGGUGCAAUUUCUAUUUUCUCUGAAUUAUAAAGUCCCUCUCAGUGUUCUGACCUCUCACACCAGGUCAAGGUCACUCUCUCUGGAGGGAUAAGUGAGCCUGAACCAGAACCAAAUUCCCUGAGAACUCACUGGCCCUUUCCAAUCACUGUCUUCACUACCAGCCCUCUUCAAUCCUCUCUCUCUAGCCCCCUCCAAUCACCCAAAUUAUCCUUUUAGACUUGGACUCAGCCCAGCCUGAGGCUCCAUGACAAUUCCCCUCUAAAUGGCCUCAUCUCUCAGUUACACCAGACCUUCUUGCCAUGGUGGCACCAUGUGGUGGCAGGAAAAGAACUAAAUUUGCAGACAGGCUUCCCCCACUUGAAUUUCUGCACCAAAAGUUACUAGUUGACUGGACUAUAAAUAUUUCCAUAAGUGUAAAUUGGUGCUAAUAGCAUUCUUCUUACCUACUUCACAAGGCUUUUUGGAGGAUUCACAGGGUUCACUUAUGUAAAAGGUCUUCAUUUUUAAAAACUAGUCUAAAUAGUUCUGCAUACAAAUUUAAGGUUUCAGUAAAGAUUCUCUGUAACUGCCCAUAUAUGUUUAAAAUUAAUGACUUUAUUGACACAAACUUUGCAAUGAAAAGUGGUAUCCUAAUAGGAUAGUAAGGAUUAGUUUCUGUCUCAUACAUACAUGAAAAAGUAGCCAGAUGCAUUUUUAGUCACAUGGUUUAACUUCUGGUUGCUGUCUCCGUGAAAUCCAGAUUGUUCUGGGGAGGGCCAGAUCAUGUGCCCUGCAUUUCCUUCUCCCCUGUAAGUGAGAAAGUGUUUCUAUAUAAAACAGAGACACUUUCUUAAGGUGAUAAAUUCCAAACAACAUGCAGCAGUGAACUGAUGCAGAAACAAAGCUGUAAAGAGAAGCCACAAAGCACAUCCCCAGGGAGAAAGAGCCCUUGAACUUGCAGGAUCACUGCCAACCUUUGGCAGCUGGGGGCUCCUGCUGAGUAAUGCCAGUGGGGACAUAUGAAUCACAGGUUUUUCUUUUAUCUUAUUAUUGUUAAAAACAUUUUUUAGAACAUAAAGUUCCUAAAAGCCCUUUCUCAAAGAAUCACAAAAUGAUGAAGGUUUAGAAAAACUAUAGUUGCGUGUAUGGUAAAGUCUUGUACAUUGAUUAGAACACCUAGUUUAAGACACAAACCUACCCUGAAUAUAAAAGUUUCCAUUGCAGAGUGAUUUGCAACACACACUAUACCUUAAGGGUCUAAUUCAGUCUCCUAGUUAUGAAGUCACUGUUAGAUUCAGGAUAGAUAGUCACGACUAACCAGACCCCAAAUCCCUCAACAUCUGCAUAGUACCUGGCACAGGAUGGACAUUUAAUGUUUUGUGAAUAAAUAUACAAUCUGCCAAUGGAAGGAAGGAAGGAAAAAUGACACUACCCACUUGUGUUUGAAGAAUAACAGAGUUAGCAGAUAAGGAGGUUGCGUAUCUGACUUUUGACCUGCAUGUCAGUUCUCUGGACUAUGUUACAUAAACAUAACACCAAUAGGCUGCCUAUUUCUGCUAAACAUGGAAUUUAUUGAUAUAGUUUGGCACAACUUUAGUCCUAUCUUUCCCAAUCCCAGGCAUGUUAACAAUCCUUGAAAAAUCAUGCUACAUUACUUUGGAGGAAAAUACUUCCAGAUGAACAUGUUUCAAGACAUACUAGAAAAUUAUUCCUAUCAAAACAUCCUUUUUCUGUGUCAGCUACCUCAUUUCUAAUGCAGUGCACAUCAAUCUAAUGUCAGUAUGAAUACACAUCAACCAGGUGCUGGCUUUCUAAAGUGAUUCCUUUGCAGAUGCCAAAAUGACAGUCCUGGGGCAGUGUACAGAGAGGCCAAGGGGAAGCCAUGCCUGCUGCCACAUGUCUCUGGAUCAUCUCCCUCUCCUACGCAGUGUUCAAUCUUUGAUUAACAAUUGCAAGUGACCCCGAUAGAGAGGGAAGACAG
rnacentral:lncRNA from 1 species